GUCUCAUUCAAGCCUAGUCAUGCCUUUUGGUCUGUAUAAUGCCCUAGCAGUAUUCCAGGCCCUUGUAGAUGAUGUGUUGACAGACAUGCUGAACAGAUUUGUGUUUGUAUACCUGGACAACAUCCUGAUCUACUCAAGAUCCCUGUCUGAGCACGAGCAGCAUGUGCGCCUGGUCCUCCAACGCUUGUUGAAGAACAAACUGUUUGCUAAGGCUGAGAAGUGCGAAUUUCAUGUGACUAAAAUCUCCUUUUUGGGUUUCAUCAUUGCGCAGGGGAGAUGAGGAUGGACUCCGCUAAGGUCUCCGCAGUAACUGAUUGGCCCAUCCCAUCUACACGCAAACAGUUACAGCGCUUUUUGGGGUUCGCAAACUUCUACAGAUUUAUUCAAGGCUACAGUCACAUUGCUGCCCCGCUCACAGCUCUAACCUUGCUCUCUAUCCCCUCUUCCUGGACCAGGGAGGCCGAGGCUGCAUUCCAGGAGCUAAAACAAUGCUUCGCCUCGGCUCCCGUUUUGGUUCAACCCAACCCCGGACUCCAAUUCAUUGUUGAGGUGGACGCAUCGGACAUGGGGGUAGGUGCAGUACUUUCCCAGCGGGCAAAAUGUCAUGAUAAGCUCCACCCCUGUGCUUUUCUCUCCCGCAGACUCUCCCCAGCGAGAGAAAUUACGACAUCGGCAAUCGUGAACUGCUCGCUGUUGAGUUAGCACUGGAGGAAUGGCGCCAUUUGUUGGAGGGGUCUGAACAUCCCUUUCUUGUGUGAACAGACCACAAGAACCUCUCAUACAUCCAAUCUGCAAAGCGGCUGAACUUAAGGCAAGCCAGGUGGGCUCUAUUUUUUUUGAUCGGUUUAACUUCACCUUGUCUUAUCACCCCGGCUCUCAUAAUUCCAAGCCAGAUGCCCUCUCCAGAGUGUUCUCUGCGACGAUUCCAAUCCGGAUCCCAUCAGCAUCCUCCCAGCCACUCGCUUUGUGGGGGCAGUGACCUGUGAUAUCGAGGCCAUUGUCAGGCAGGACCAGGACCAACAGACCAACCCAGAUAUCCCCGCCUGGUCCAUCUCCUGCAACUAGUCCACUCCUGCUCGAGUGCCCCACGGACUUUCCUCCAUUCCCGGAUACCCAUUGUAAGUCGCUUUGGAUAAAAGCUGCAGCUAAAUAAGUAAAUGUCAAUGUAAUGCAAGUGAUCAUAGGCUUAGUAGCAUAAGAAUGGAUGCAGAGGAAACGGCUAGCCAAGCUCUGUCCAAAGUAGGGGAAAAAACUUACUAGUUUACAUGUUUUUUAUAUUGAUUGUUUAAACCAUAAACAGAAAUGUAAAAAUGACAAGUAGUUUUACUGGAGUUCCGGACGGAUAUAGAGAGAGCAACAGCUCCACCUCCUCGUGACCUUCUCAUACACUACAGAAGAAUGACAGCACAGAGAAACACGAUUUUAAAAAAGUAUGGAGGAGGAGAGAUAGACGAAGGGAGGGGUGGAGAGGAGGCGUAGGAAGACAUGGUCAUAUGUGUGUGUGUGUGCUUGAGCGUGGGUGUGAGUGUGUGUCUCCUAUUCAGUCCUGCUGGCCUUGUGCUUCUCUUCUGUUAGCUGAAGGUUGCGCCUUGGGCUCCAAUGAAAAGAACCCAUCGGCAAGCAGUGAGCACCAUGUUCCCGUGUGUGUGUGUGUGUGUGUCUUGUGUGUGCAGAAUAUAUACACACACACACGCGCAGGCAGGUAGCCUUGGGCACCCAGGACCCACACACAUUGAAGACACGCUCUCCCUUUGUUCCUUCCAAACAGCGCUAUAGAAAAGUAAUAAAGACAGGAGAGAUCUGACAGCCAA